rnacentral:rRNA from 1 species
AACGAACGCUGGCGGCAUGCCUAACACAUGCAAGUCGAACGAGACCUUCGGGUCUAGUGGCGCACGGGUGCGUAACGCGUGGGAACCUGCCCUUAGGUUCGGAAUAACUCCCCGAAAGGGGUGCUAAUACCGGAUAAUGUCUUCGGACCAAAGAUUUAUCGCCUUUGGAUGGGCCCGCGUUGGAUUAGCUAGUUGGUAGGGUAAAAGCCUACCAAGGCGACGAUCCAUAGCUGGUCUGAGAGGAUGAUCAGCCACACUGGGACUGAGACACGGCCCAGACUCCUACGGGAAGCAGCAGGGGGGAAUAUUGGACAAUGGGCGAAAGCCUGAUCCAGCAAUGCCGCGUGAGUGAUGAAGGCCUUAGGGUUGUAAAGCUCUUUUACCCGGGAUGAUAAUGACAGUACCGGGAGAAUAAGCUCCGGCUAACUCCGUG